rnacentral:rRNA from 1 species
GGAACCCCGAGGUAAUGAUUAAUAGAAACGGAUGGGGGCAUUCGUAUUGCGACGUUAGAGGUGAAAUUCUUGGAUCGUCGCAAGACGAACCUAAGCGAAAGCAUUUGCCAAAAACGCUUUCAUUGAUCAAGAACGAAAGUUAGAGGUUCGAAGGCGAUCAGAUACCGCCCUAGUUCUAACCAUAAACGAUGCCAGCUAGCGAUCCGCCGACGUUCCUCCGAUGACUCGGCGGGCAGCUUCCGGGAAACCAAAGCUUUUGGGUUCCGGGGGAAGUAUGGUUGCAAAGCUGAAACUUAAAGGAAUUGACGGAAGGGCACCACCAGGAGUGGAGCCUGCGGCUUAAUUUGACUCAACACGGGAAAACUCACCAGGCCCGGACACCGGAAGGAUUGACAGAUUGAGAGCUCUUUCUUGAUUCGGUGGGUGGUGGUGCAUGGCCGU